CCUACGGGAGGCAGCAGUGGGGAAUCUUGCGCAAUGGGCGAAAGCCUGACGCAGCCAUGCCGCGUGAAUGAUGAAGGUCUUAGGAUUGUAAAAUUCUUUCACCGGGGACGAUAAUGACGGUACCCGGAGAAGAAGCCCCGGCUAACUUCGUGCCAGCAGCCGCGGUAAUACGAAGGGGGCUAGCGUUGCUCGGAAUUACUGGGCGUAAAGGGAGCGUAGGCGGAUAGUUUAGUCAGAGGUGAAAGCCCAGGGCUCAACCUUGGAAUUGCCUUUGAUACUGGCUAUCUUGAGUACGGAAGAGGUAUGUGGAACUCCGAGUGUAGAGGUGAAAUUCGUAGAUAUUCGGAAGAACACCAGUGGCGAAGGCGACAUACUGGUCCGUUACUGACGCUGAGGCUCGAAAGCGUGGGGAGCAAACAGGAUUAGAUACCCUGGUAGUCCACGCUGUAAACGAUGAGUGCUAGUUGUCGGCAUGCAUGCAUGUCGGUGACGCAGCUAACGCAUUAAGCACUCCGCCUGGGGAGUACGGUCGCAAGNUUAAAACUCAAAUUGAAAUUGACGG
rnacentral:rRNA from 1 species